rnacentral:rRNA from 1 species
GACACGGACACGUGGUAUCCUGUCUGAAUAUGGGGGGACCAUCCUCCAAGGCUAAAUACUCCUGACUGACCGAUAGUGAACCAGUACCGUGAGGGAAAGGCGAAAAGAACCCCGGCGAGGGGAGUGAAAAAGAACCUGAAACCGUGUACGUACAAGCAGUGGGAGCACAGGUUUACCUGUGUGACUGCGUACCUUUUGUAUAAUGGGUCAGCGACUUAUAUUCUGUAGCAAGGUUAACCGUAUAGGGGAGCCGUAGGGAAACCGAGUCUUAACCGGGCGUUAAGUUGCAGGGUAUAGACCCGAAACCCGGUGAUCUAGCCAUGGGCAGGUUGAAGGUUGGGUAACACUAACUGGAGGACCGAACCGACUAAUGUUGAAAAAUUAGCGGAUGACCUGUGGCUGGGGGUGAAAGGCCAAUCAAACCGGGAGAUAGCUGGUUCUCCCCGAAAGCUAUUUAGGUAGCGCCUCGUGAAUUCAUCUCCGGGGGUAGAGCACUGUUUCGGCUAGGGGGCCAUCC